CAGUAAUGUGCUGGGAAAGACUAUGACAAUUUUUAACACAGAUCUCCAACAUGUCAGAUUGUGCUGCUGGGUGGACAGAGAUGAAGUGGAGAUGACGGUGGGAAGAUCCUGGCUGAUUGCUGAUGGAGCAGGCAGAAUGUGCAAGGAACAAAAUUCUGCAGACUCCAAAGUAAAGCAAAAGACAUGACAACAUGGAGGUUUGUGGUAUGUGCUCCAUCUGGAUAUGGCUCCUAAUAAGGAUGUGCUGGAGACAUCCCUUAAGCACUAAUGUACACCCAACCCCCAACCCUUGCUGUCAGGAGUCUCCUUAUCAAUGAUCUGAAAGAAAGAAAGAAGCAAGA